AGCAGCCGCGGUAAUUCCAGCUCCAAUAGCGUAUAUUAAAGUUGUUGCAGUUAAAAAGCUCGUAGUUGAAUUUCGGGGUUGGUAGGUUGGUCGUGCCACUGGUAUGUACUGGCCUUACCGAUUCCUCCUUCUUGUAGAACUUGUGAUGCCAUUAAUUUGGUGUUGCAGGGAAACAGGACUGUUACUUUGAAAAAAUUAGAGUGUUUAAAGCAGGCUAACGCUUGAAUACAUUAGCAUGGAAUAAUGAAAUAGGACGUCGAUCCUAUUUUGUUGGUUUCUAGGAUUAACGUAAUGAUUAAUAGGGAUAGUUGGGGGCAUUAGUAUUCAAUUGUCAGAGGUGAAAUUCUUGGAUUUAUUGAAGACUAACUACUGCGAAAGCAUUUGCCAAGGAUGUUUUCAUUAAUCAAGAACGA
rnacentral:rRNA from 1 species